CAAUUAUUAGUCGAUUAUAUUACCGUUUUUAUUCAUAGGACAAACACUCGAUCCGUUUUUAGGGGUCCAUAUUUUUACAACCUCUAAUCAAGCCAAAGAGUACCAAAAAUUGAACAUACACAUUGUAAAUCACUGUAUAAAUCCAUUCUUUUGCGUUUGAAUUACAAAUCCUCGCUGAAACGAAGAAAAAAGCACUCGGCAGCGAUCGAAUCCAAAUGUCCAGUUGUACUUACCUAGAUUGUAGCCAGGCCUUCAUGAUUAAUUAAAAUGAAAAAUGAGAAAAUGAAAAAGCUAGGAACACACAAAGCAAAAGAUAGGCGACCAGCAAACGGAGAGAGGACACGUUAAUGGCCUAAAAAAUAGGACAAAGAAAAUGUUGGUAAAGGAUAACUAAGAUGAGCUGGGAAAACAAAAGCACUUAGUGCAAUUCGUUACGGAACCGAAGCAGCCAAAAAAAUGGAAUGAUGAUUGUUUAGUGAUUGACGUAAUGCAAAACGCUAUAAUACUUUUAUGAGAUACAACGUAUAAGAAGGUGGUUUUAGCAUUGUCUUGGGUUCCUCAUCAUUCCGUAUGCUCCCGUUGUCGUAGUG